CAGUCUGACUUUGUAGUUGAGCAUAACCAGUGGCUUGUUGAAAACCUGUAUUUCCAUUCAUGAAGAUGUCUCUUCGUACACAAAACUCCUCAGGAGUGCCCUUGACUUGAUUAGAUGUUGUGAAGUUGUUUUGCUUAAUCAUGGAAACAAUUCAACAUGAACUUAAGUUGUCUUCUGGUUCUUUCAGGCCUUUUGGUGUUGCUGGUUCAGAUUGUUGAAUUUGUUCACUCCUAACUUUUUUUUCCUUUUAAUUAGUCAUCAAACAACAUCAUCUGCCAUAACCCUGCUUUUUAAGUCAAUUGUCCAGUUACGUUUGAGCCUUUGGAAAUGGAGAACUGUGUAUAAAAGCAGCUGUAAUUCCUAAACAGUUAAUGCAAUACUUGUAUUAAACCCCUUGAAUUGUAGCUGGAAAUCUGCACUUUAAUCACAUUGAUGGUUUAAAAUCCACUCUAGUACUGUGCUGAAACAAAACUACAAAAAAAUGCCAUUCCACAAAAACGUAUGCACCCGAUGUUUCACUUUUGCUUCUUCCUGCCUUUCACUGAGCCACUGCCAUUAGCUGAAAUAUGACCACCAGUAGAUUUGCAGCUUUCUCUUCUCCCUCAGGUGAGAGGGAAAAAAGGUCAGUCCAACCUGGCGUUGAAGUUUCACGGAAGAGCUGGUAAUGCGAGUCUCUCAUGAUGAGACAGUAAUGGUUUCUGCUUACGGUUUGCCACUUUAGACAUUUGAUAUGGAAGAAUUCAUACCAGAGUGUGUCUGACCAGUGAGGGUUUCUUUGUUCAUUUUGUGUUUCCAGAAAACUCCACACUACACUGCCUGUUAAUUAUUUCCCCUGACUUUCUCUGAGCUGUCACCCCGGAAAUGUCAGACGAACUGAUUUCCUCUCCCUCGGUGUGCUUACAGCUCGUGUGACAUGUGAAAAGUGACUGUACGCAUGCAUGUUUUCUAUGCUGAGGCGUAAAUGUGUUCUACACAAGCUUUUCGCACACAUCCACGGCUCACAUGCCGUGCACCCAUUCAAAGAAGCUGCCCUCAUUUGUAUUACUUAAUGACAUUUGUGAACUGGAAGGCAAACGGAUGCUUCAAUGGAAGCAGCGCUAUCAAAUGAAUAAAGGACUUUUUUGCUUUUGUGUUUUGUGACUGUGACUUUUUUGACAUGCCAGAACCUUUUUAUGUUGACUUGGUCACAAUGAUUUGCAAUAAUCAUAUUUUUAUCAUUGUUUAGUGAACCGUUGACCAAAAUAAGGAAAAG
ensembl:lncRNA